rnacentral:rRNA from 1 species
CCUACGGGAGGCAGCAGUGAGGAAUAUUGGUCAAUGGCCGGAAGGCUGAACCAGCCAAGCCGCGUGAGGGAGGAAGGCGCAGAGCGUCGCAGACCUCUUUUGCCGGGGGACAAACCGCCGGACGGGUCCGGUUCUGAGUGUACCCGGAGAAAAAGCAUCGGCUAACUCCGUGCCAGCAGCCGCGGUAAUACGGGGGAUGCGAGCGUUAUCCGGAUUUAUUGGGUUUAAAGGGUGCGUAGGCGGUCCGUUAAGUCAGCGGUAAAAUUGCGGGGCUCAACCCCGUCGAGCCGUUGAAACUGGCAGACUUGAGUUGGCGAGAAGUACGCGGAAUGCGCGGUGUAGCGGUGAAAUGCAUAGAUAUCGCGCAGAACUCCGAUUGCGAAGGCAGCGUACCGGCGCCAGACUGACGCUGAGGCACGAAAGCGUGGGGAUCGAACAGGAUUAGAUACCCUUGUAGUC